CAGCCGCCACGGGAAUACGGAGGGAGCUAGCGUUGUUCGGAAUUACUGGGCGUAAAGCGCGCGUAGGCGGUUACUCAAGUCAGAGGUGAAAGCCCGGGGCUCAACCCCGGAACUGCCUUUGAAACUAGGUGACUAGAAUCUUGGAGAGGUCAGUGGAAUUCCGAGUGUAGAGGUGAAAUUCGUAGAUAUUCGGAAGAACACCAGUUGCGAAGGCGACUGACUGGACAAGUAUUGACGCUGAGGUGCGAAAGCGUGGGGAGCAAACAGGAUUAGAGACCCGUGUAGUCCCUGUCUCUUAUAA
rnacentral:rRNA from 1 species